rnacentral:pre_miRNA from 1 species
AGGUCAUUUGAAUUUUCAUCCCUGAAGUUACUAAUCCUUCCAAUCUGCCCCUGCAAAUAUUAAUCAUUUGACUUUUGGUCCUAAUUACAUCUGAUUAGUAACUUAGGACCAAAAGUCAAAUGAUUAAUAUUUGCAAGGGCAGAUUGGAAGGAUUAGUAACUUCAGCGACGAAAAUUCAAAUGGCCUA